rnacentral:rRNA from 1 species
UACGUAGGGGGGCAAGCGUUGUCCGGAUUUAUUGGGCGUAAAGAGCGUGUAGGCGGCCACACAGGUCUGCUGUGAAAACUCGAGGCUCAACCUCGAGCUGUCGGUGGAAACCGUGUGGCUAGAGUCCGGAAGAGGAGAGUGGAAUUCCCGGUGUAGCGGUGAAAUGCGCAGAUAUCGGGAAGAACACCCGUGGCUAAGGCGGCUCUCUAGUACGGUACUGACGCUGAGACGCGAAAGCGUGGGGAGCGAACAGGA